ensembl:lncRNA
CGAAAACUCAAAAGCUCCGCAAUUUAACAUGGCCCAGGUGUGUAGUUGACACUGACCAAAUAUGAAGCUUGUACGAUGAAAUUCCAAUGAGGAGUUCGCAAAAGUUCGAGGCAUGGAAAUGGCAAAAUUAGAGCCAAAAUGUCACCUUCACUUCCAAAUGGCGGACUUCCUGUUGGGUUUAGGACAUGGCCAUAAUAGACUUUUAUGUGCGUCUCCGAACGUUAGAUAUGUGUUCCGAGUUUUAUACAUGUAGGUCAUACCCAUCUCGGGGGCUCGCGUUUCUCAUUUUUCUAGGUGGCGCUACUGAGCCAAUUUUCCCUGGACAUGUCUACGGACAUUAAAAUACGUAAAUUUUCACCAGACCUGACGCGUG